rnacentral:rRNA from 1 species
AUUGAACGCUGGCGGCAGGCCUAAUACAUGCAAGUCGAGCGGAGCGGCGGACGGGUGAGUAAUGCCUAGGAAGCUGCCCGGUAGUGGGGGAUAACGUCCGGAAACGGGCGCUAAUACCGCAUACUAUCAGAUGAGUCUAGGUUGGAUUAGCUAGUUGGUGGGGUAAAGGCAUACCAAGGUGACGAUCCGUAACUGGUCUGAGAGGAUGAUCGGUCAUACUGGAAGUGAGACACGGUCCAGACUCCUACGGGAGGCAGCAGUGGGGAAUAUUGGGCAAUGGGCGAAAGGCUGAUCCAGCCAUGCCGCGUGUGUGAAGAAGGUCUUCGGAUUGUAAAGCACUUUAAGUUGGGAAGCGUUACCUACAGAAUAAGCGCCGGCUAACUUCGUGCCAGCAGCCGCGGUAAUAC